UAAUCACAAGCAGACUUGAUUUCCUUUCCUCAGGAGAAUUUAGAGACAGUGGACUGACCAGAGGCACUCACAUUAUAAUUUAAAGAGAAGACACAUUUCUGCAGACUGCUCUGAAGAGUGGCUCUGAAGAUUACUGAAGCAGAAAAGGUGGGGAUGCAUUUGUACUCUAUAUACACUCAGUAUAUGAUAUGGGCCAAUAAUAACAACUAUAACUGAUACUCUGUGACUGAGGACCCCCAAAAUUACUGCAGACAAAACUGGAUUCAUUCUGAAGGCAGACUAGAAGUGCUUCAUAGUCCUAAUGAUACAACUUCCUUUUUCUUACCACCAUAAACCUAUGGCAGUCAAAGAGAAUUUUCAUUUUGUUAAGCUGUCCUAAGCAAAGUAUAAAGAAGAGCAUAAAUGGCUCGAAUGUUCCAGGAAUCCCACUGGCUUAAACAUUCGUCUAUUAAAAAUAAGAGUUCUAAUAGUUGAAUGGCUUCCAAGAAGGGCCUCAGAGGAUGAAAGUGUUUCUAUCAAAUCUGGAAAUGUUUGGAAGAUGCUUAUUCCAUGUGAAAAUAUUUCCACCUUUCAAAAAGGCCUGAAUUUGAGAUUCAUUUGACAAAUAUGCUCUCAUACAAUGUAUUUUCAGAACUGUUAUAAAAUACCUAGAAUUCCUACUAUUUUGAUAAAAAAUGCAUUAUAAUAAAUUUCAACUCCGGUAAGUCAAAAUAUUUCAGAUCAUUUUACAAAACGUUCCUAAUUGCAACAGCUCCUUUUUCCCUCAGGGGAAGUUCUCCUUGAAUAUGGACCACUAGGUAAGCCAGUCUCCAACUUCCCAUACCCUGCGCAACGCUCAAACUCAUCUCCUCUGUUUCACUCAGACUCUAGACCAGUACCUGCUCUGCAGAAAAACUAACAUCGUGGAAGGUUCUUACUCUAGUCCAUUUAGUGAAGACCCAGGCCUCUAGAACACUGCAAGGUUUCCAAGAUGGAAUCCCUUGUACUAACCCAAAUCUUGGUUUGUACUCAAAAGAAAUGUGACUACACAGCAUACAGUUGCAAAGCUGCAGGUCCAACUGCAAAGUAAAUGUUUCAUGCCUUUCAUCAUGCCAGCAGAGGCCUGUUUUGUCAUAGUGUUAAUCGUACUUUGAGAGAGCCUUAGCCUUGCAUGACUUUCCCUUCAUUCAGAUUGUAUAAACCACAGUCAAAUGAAUGAAGGGGAAUGAACCUAUAAAAGAAUUCUGUUGGGAAAACACUGGUAUUUUUAAAGCAAAAUGUGGUUUGACAUUUUAGAAAAAGUUAAUGUCACUGCUAAUGAGAAAGAAACCUUGGUCUGCUGGUUAGUCUGCUUGGGAAACUGAUUCUAUUCUGUGUUUUGCCUGUUUUCCUGUGUGGUUUUGGAAAAUCAUAGGGGUACACUGCAGUUUUAGUCCCUAUUCCCCUAGCAAACACCUUAGAUGCCAAAACUUGAAGUAGAUGUUUAUUUGGUCUUUGGAUCAAUGCACAUUUGCAUAGCUGGGGGAGUAUGGACUAAGCUUGAGCUGGUUUCAGACUGUGUGCUAUUCAUUCUGCAGAUCUGGGCAAGGUAAUUUCAUUUGACCCACAUUCUCCCACAGUUGAUGUGGAAAGUAUUGUAGAGCAUCUUCAAAGAAGAAGAAAGUGGGAUCUUCUUCAAACGCAUUAGACAAAUUGACACAGCAGCACACCAGUCAGUCAUAUUGGCUAACUGCAAUAUAGACAUAUCCUUUAUCUUCCUACACUCCCCUGUGUAAAACAGCAAUAAUAAUACUUCCUCCCCUCACUAAAAAUGAUGCAAGGCCGUAGACCUGAAGGACUGUGAAAUGGUCAGCUACUCCAGUGCUAUUUCAGACAUCAGGGCGAUCUUUUUACUGUUUCUGUUUUUCUCUUUUAAUCUCCUCAAGCUGUUUUUCUCAGAAAUAAGGAAGCCAGAAUCAUAUGACCAAACAGCUCCUUCUCAGGUCAUGACCUACCUGGCGAUUUCUGGGCUGUGUCUGAUCCUGGUUACCCUCACCACACCUGCUCCUGACCUGUGGACUGACCUCCCUGGCUUGACCUUGGACCUACCUCGUCACCAUGGACUUGC